CAGAAGGACCACUUUGGAAGCUCCUGUGAUGUCUGGGUGAAGGAUGAUGAUAGGUUUGAACCAGGGCACUGGCAGUGGAGAUGGACGAGACCUUCAGGAAAAAUUCAGAAGAUCCACAGUGCCUCCAGCUUCAGCAUCUGGCGGGAGCAGCAACCAAGUCUGAACUGUGAGGUCUUUUAUCCGGCUCAACACAGCAAUAGAGAGCAAUGGCUACGAGUCUGGACCAGGGUUUGGGUCCCACAUCUGCCACUGACCAGCUAAGGCAAGCUACCUCAGUUUCCUCUUCUUUAAAACAGGGAUAAAGGUCUCCUUCAGGGACUGUGGACUAGAAUGAGUUUUGUUUUCAUUUGCUGCUUUCGGAUUUUGCUCACCUCGGAUGGUUUCAGAGAGGAGGAAUACUGUGCUGGGUUUCUAAAGCCAUCAUGAGAGAUGAGGCUGUGACGAGGACGGCAGUUCAUAGGCCACACCUUCGGUAUAUGCAAGUUUUAGGCGAGGGGGUCAAAUCAGAGCAGCAGCUGCCAGCCUACACCACAGCUCACAGCAACACCGGAUCCUUAACCUACUGAGCGAGGCCAGGGAUCAAACCUGCAUCCUCAAGGAUACUAAUCGGAUGUGUAACCACUGAGCCACGACGGGAACACCUCAAAGUAGCUUUAAUAAGAGGUUUAGAGUGGAGAGGAAAUCAAUAGGCUUAGAGACUGAACUUGAAUAUCAACAGGUGAGACAUCCUACUUGGCUGCCGGCACUUCUAUGUUGGCGCUGAGAGAUAGCAAGUUCCUGGCUGCCUGUACUUUAAAACUACCAACUUUUCAUCAUUGUGGCAAAUUUUAGUUCCUUCACUGUGAGAGAAAGUGAAGUUAACAGAGAGGUAGGCGGUGACCUGGACCACAUACAUCCUCCUCCUUGAUGGCGCUGUACUGUGACGGGCAGGGCUGCUUCAGGAUCUCCUCCCACUGGCCAUCUUCAAUCAGCUCCUGAUCCACUUCUUCAGGAGGCAGAUCCUAAAGCAGAGAACACCGGUGAGGACCGCAGCUGUUUCCCGUUUCCGGAAGACCCCUUGUCUCAGCACCAAGAAGAAAUGCAGCAUCGUGACUUUCACAGUCCUUCCUGUGCACCGUGCCUGCCUAGCGCUUUUAAAGCAAACGGAAUACAACUGCGAAAACAGCCACACCUGGCUUAUCAGUUGACGACCAACUUCAUCAUCCUGGACCAGGAUGAAAAAGAAGACAAUUUUUAGGUGUUAUACACUUAUUUAACCAAGUGGCUCUGACAGCUGUGUCUAACUCUCAGUUCCACUAGAUGUCAAUUCCUUCACCUUCACAGUAUUCGUCUUUGAGUCGCCGGGAUUUCCACACACUAAGGGAACACAGCACAGGAGACAACGGACAGCCGCAGCAUCCAUUCAGCAACAGUUAUCGUCCCGGUACCACGUUCUGACUGCACACUGGAUUUCAGGUGUCUUCAAUCUCUUAACAUCAUUUUUUUCUACCAUCCACAUUCUGGAGCCAGGGAUUAUGAGCAUAACGGAGACAAUGAACAAAUGAAAUAUUUGAAACCCGUCAGAAAGAAGCCAAUUGAAACGGAUGUCAAGGAUUGAAUCUCAUACUGUGACCAUUCACGGUCUGUCUGGAAUUAAGAUUAAAAAUAAAAUGGGUCUCUCUGUA